rnacentral:rRNA from 1 species
CAGUCGCCGCGGGAACACGGAGGGGGCUAGCGUUGUUCGGAAUUACUUGGCGUAAAGCGCACGUAGGCGGCUUGGUAAGUUAGAGGUGAAAGCCUGGAGCUCAACUCCAGAAUUGCCUUUAAGACUGCCGAGCUAGCAGGUGAGAGAGGUAAGUGGAAUUCCGAGUGUAGAGGUGAAAUUCGUAGAUAUUCGGAAGAACACCAGUGGCGAAGGCGGCUUACUGGCUCAUACUGGACGCUGAGGUGCGAAAGCGUGGGGAGCAAACAGGAUUAGAUACCCCCGUAGUCCCUGUCUCUUAUAC